rnacentral:rRNA from 1 species
GAUGAACGCUGGCGGCGUGCCUAAUACAUGCAAGUCGAGCGAAUGGAUUAAGAGCUUGCUCUUAUGAAGUUAGCGGCGGACGGGUGAGUAACACGUGGGUAACCUGCCCAUAAGACUGGGAUAACUCCGGGAAACCGGGGCUAAUACCGGAUAACAUUUUGAACCGCAUGGUUCGAAAUUGAAAGGCGGCUUCGGCUGUCACUUAUGGAUGGACCCGCGUCGCAUUAGCUAGUUGGUGAGGUAACGGCUCACCAAGGCAACGAUGCGUAGCCGACCUGAGAGGGUGAUCGGGCACACUGGGACUGAGACACGGCCCAGACGCCUACGGGAGGCAGCAGUAGGGAGUCUUCCGCAAUGGACGAAGGUCUGACGGAGCAACGCCGCGUGAGUGAUGAAGGCUUUCGGGUCGUAAAACUCUGUUGUUAGGGAAGAACAAGUGCUAGUUGAAUAAGCUGGCACCUUGACGGUACCUAACCAGAAAGCCACGGCUAACUACGUGCCAGCCGCCGCAGUAA